rnacentral:rRNA from 1 species
GACGAACGCUGGCGGCGUGCUUAACACAUGCAAGUCGAACGGAAAGGCCCUGCUUUUGUGGGGUGCUCGAGUGGCGAACGGGUGAGUAACACGUGAGUAACCUGCCCUUGACUUUGGGAUAACUUCAGGAAACUGGGGCUAAUACCGGAUAGGAGCUCCUGCUGCAUGGUGGGGGUUGGAAAGUUCCGGCGGUUGGGGAUGGGCUCGCGGCUUACCAGCUUGUUGGUGGGGUAGUGGAUUUCCAAGGGUUUGAAGGGUAGCCCGCCUGAGCGGGUGAACGGGCACAUUGGGACUGAGGUACGCCCCAGACUGCUACGGGAGGCAACAGUGGGGAAUAUGACGGAAUGGGGCGGAGCCAGAUGCGGAAACGCCGCGAGCGGAAAACCGUCCUUCGGGUUGAAAACCGCUUUGGCCUGUAACGAAGCGUUAGUGACGGUAAUGGGUAAGAAAGCCCCGGCUAACUACGUG